rnacentral:pre_miRNA from 1 species
AUAUAGGGCCUGAUCCAAAGUCCACUGAAGUAAAUGGCAAUCUUUCUAUUGACUUCAGUGGGCUUUGGAUCAGGCCUUAAU